CCCACCUGAGCUCCUGAUCUCAGAGCACUGGGAGUUAAAGCGUUAACGCUGCAGUUCCGUGGACUGUCGGUAGUUGUGGUGCUGUCUCGGAAGAGAAGAACAACUCCAUCCCCCAGAGGACUCUGCGUUUCCGUUCCGAAGGAAAGCUACAACUGCUCGCAAAUCACGGGACGCCCCUGUUUUUUCCCUUUCCGCUCGUGUCGGCAGCGUGUGCGAUCCCCGACCGUCUCGCGUUCAGCAUCCGAGUACCCGAGGAGGAAAAUGCAGACCUAACCACUGUGCCUGGCAGUAUCCCUCCUCGCCUUGGCUGUUUUUGCAGGACAUCUGUGGCACCCUCAACAUCACUGCUUUGGGCAGCUGUUCUCCUCUUGCUUACAACCUCAGUAGUCUCUG
rnacentral:lncRNA from 1 species